rnacentral:rRNA from 1 species
GUGGGGAAUAUUGGGCAAUGGGCGCAAGCCUGACCCAGCAACGCCGCGUGAAGGAAGAAGGCUUUCGGGUUGUAAACUUCUUUUACCAGGGACGAAACAAAUGACGGUACCUGGUGAAUAAGCCACGGCUAACUACGUGCCAGCAGCCGCGGUAAUACGUAGGUGGCGAGCGUUAUCCGGAUUUAUUGGGUGUAAAGGGCGUGUAGGCGGGACAGCAAGUCAGAUGUGAAAACCAGAGGCUCAACCUCUGGCCUGCAUUUGAAACUGUUGUUCUUGAGUGUCGGAGAGGUAAUCGGAAUUCCGUGUGUAGCGGUGAAAUGCGUAGAUAUACGGAGGAACACCAGUGGCGAAGGCGGAUUACUGGACGAUAACUGACGCUGAGGCGCGAAAGCGUGGGGAGCAAACAGGAUUAGAUACCCCUGUAGUCC